AUUUUUAACUUCCAAUGGUAUUACACUGUUCUGGAAGUAUCCAAACAAGUGUUUCAGGUUCGAUUCCUGAUAGAAGUG
rnacentral:tRNA from 1 species